rnacentral:rRNA from 1 species
GAUGAACGCUGGCGGCGUGCCUAAUACAUGCAAGUCGAGCGAAUGGAUUAAGAACUUGCUCUUAUGAAGUUAGCGGCGGACGGGUGAGUAACACGUGGGUAACCUGCCCAUAAGACUGGGAUAACUCCGGGAAACCGGGGCUAAUACCGGAUAACAUUUUGAACCGCAUGGUUCGAAAUUGAAAGGCGGCUUCGGCUGUCACUUAUGGAUGGACCCGCGUCGCAUUAGCUAGUUGGUGAGGUAACGGCUAACCAAGGCAACGAUGAGUAGCCGACCUGAGAGGGGGAUCGGCCAGACUGGGACGUAGACACGGCCCAGACUCCUGCGGGAGGCAGCAGUAGGGAAUCUUCCGCAAUGGACGAAAGUCUGACGGAGCAACGCCGCGUGAGUGAUGAAGGCUUUCGGGUCGUAAAACUCUGUUGUUAGGGAAGAACAAGUGCUAGUUGAAUAAGCUGACACCUUGACGGUACCUAACCAGAAAGCCACGGCUAACUACGUGCCAGCCGCCGCAGUAA